rnacentral:misc_RNA from 1 species
AUUGCCAGCUAACUUUGCAAGCUGCACAUUUAACAGUUCAAAACAUAUACUUGCUUCCAUUGUGAAAAUGGAAAAAGAAAAAAAAUGAAGAUUGAGUGAGCAAGGAAUAAUGUUUUUAUACUUGUAGCAAAAAUAACUAAGAAAUGAAUAGCAAACAACUUAUCACCCAAACAAGAAAUCCAUGUUGCUAAAACAAUUGUCCCAAAAAAAAGCAAGUAAUCUAUUAUUUUCAAUUUGUGAAUGCUACCUAGUUUACAAUUCUUGACAAAGUGAAAGAUAAUUCUAUAGAACUAUAAUCAAGCUACUUAUCUUGUAUAAGAGUGGAUGUUCACAAAAUGAGUGUGGCAAAAAUACAAAUGUUAAAAUGGAUGACUGAUAUUACAAUAAUGAAUAAGAUUAGGAAUUACCACAUCUACCAAAGAGUUUAUGCAGCACAUAUUGGGGAUAAAAUAAGAGGAUCGACUAAAAUAAUUUGAUCAUGUCCAAUGUAGAACAUCGAAUGCUCUAAUAUGAAAGUAUGUGUUGGAAUCUCAAUCCCUACAUUAAAAGGAUUAUUAUUUCUUUCUCCUUAUGUAUAUCUUGUUUUCUAUGUGUAUUAGUUUCCAUUAAAUUAGAUUUCCUUGUAAAACUAGGAAUCUUGGUAUAUAAAUAGGCAUAUGUACGAAGUUAUUAAUACACAAGAAUAUACAGAUUUUUCUCUCCAAACUGUUGUUUCAAAUCAACAUGGUAUCAAAGCCUUGCCAUCAUCAACUGGCAUAAGGUUAUGUGAUACAGAGAAAAACGAAGACCUAGGAUUUUUUUUUUCUAAGUCAAGCUUCUAGGUGGUUUUAGGGAGGAGGUGACAGACACCACCCUUUCCAGAAGGAAGACCAGUGUGUUUCUGCCCAUUUCCAGGAGUCACGUCACCGUUUGAGCAUGCAUGUGGCAUCACACGCCAUUAGACCUUCCACAGCAUUUCCCCACGCACCAGCACGUGAACACCUUUCCUGCAGCCUUUUCCGACAGCGCUUCUUUCUAGCAGUCUUCUCUCCACGUCGCACCUCUGACCAGCCCAAACCCGUGACUUGGUUAUCACUUUUCCACCUUUGAGAUCUUAUACAACAAUUUCUCUCUUUGAUCCUUUGGUUUUUUUUCACUUUGGUUCUUUGGGUCUUGUACUUUGAGAUGGCUGAGGGUAUUGGGGGUAAUGCACCUAUUUUUAAUGAUAAUCCCUCUCUAAAAAUCAAUCUCAUAAAGCUUGAUGGAACCAAUUAUCUUGCUUGGUCAAGAUCCUGUCUUUUGUUCAUUCAAGCUAAAGGAUUGCAAGGAUAUAUCACUAGAUAUAAGUUAAAGCCAGAGACCACCAAUUCCCCCUACAAUAAUGUCUUAGCUCAAUAAUUCUAUUCAACUUCAAAUAGCUCAUGGAUAUUCGUUAUUGGACAUUGCAGCUGCCAUUUGGAAUGUUAUUUCUUAGACUUAUUCUCAAGUAGGUAAUAAUGCAUAGGUUUAUGCGCUAACAAAUGAAGUUUAUGGUACAAAACAAGAUGAGAUGACUAUUGCUCAAUAUUUUCCUAAGUUGAGUGGCUUAUGGUAAGAGCUAGAUUAUGAUCAAAACUUUCAGGCUACAUAUACUAGAGUUGCCGCAAAAUUUCAAAAAUUGAUUGAGAAAGAACAAAUUUAAUGAUUUUUUUGUUAGGCUAAACAUAGAAUAUGACCAGAUUUCGGUCCAGGUACUUGGUAAGGACCCUCUGCCCCCUCAUUAAGGCAAACUUAUUCUUAUGUUCAACAGAAAGAAAGAAGAAGAAGUGUCGUGGUGUAUGCUACAUCCAUUGACAAGUCAGAGCUUUUAGCUACUGCCUCUAAAGAACAAUCACAUAGCUUUGGUCCAUCAGACAAGGAUCAUUUGCAUUGUGACUACUGUGGAAAAUCUUGCCAUAUCAAGGAAUAUUGCUACAAACUUCAUGGUUGCCCAACCAAGGGGUGUGGAAGAAAAAGAAUGGGCUUAGCAAAACCACAGGCAAAUGUAUCUGAUACAGUGGAGUUUUCUGAGGAUACAGCCAUAACUAAAAUUCUUUCCAAUAAGGAAGUGCAAUCCUUAAGACAUUUGUUCUCACAGCUAGAUUCUCAGUCUACCACAGUUGCCUCUUCUAAUUUUAUCAAAUCAGGUAAUACUUUUCUUGUCAAUCUUGAAAAGAAUUUUUGGAUUAUAGAUUCGGGAGCAAACAAACACAUGACAGGCUCUUCCAAUAAAUUCAGAACCUAUUCAUCUUGUUCAGGAAAAGAAAAAGUCCGC